GCUUAACACAUGCAAGUCGAGGGGUAACAGAGAAAAGCUUGCUUUUUUGCUGACGACCGGCGCACGGGUGCGUAACGCGUAUGCAAUCUACCUUUUGCUAAGGGAUAGCCCAGAGAAAUUUGGAUUAAUACCUUAUAGUAUGAUGACUUGGCAUCAAGAUAUCAUUAAAGAUUACGGCAAAAGAUGAGCAUGCGUUCUAUUAGCUAGUUGGUGUGGUAACGGCAUACCAAGGCAACGAUAGAUAGGGGUCCUGAGAGGGAGAUCCCCCACACUGGUACUGAGACACGGACCAGACUCCUACGGGAGGCAGCAGUGAGGAAUAUUGGACAAUGGAGGCAACUCUGAUCCAGCCAUGCCGCGUGCAGGAAGACUGCCCUAUGGGUUGUAAACUGCUUUUGUACAGGAAGAAAUACCUCUACGUGUAGAGAUUUGACGGUACUGUAAGAAUAAGGAUCGGCUAACUCCGUGCCAGCAGCCGCGGUAAUACGGAGGAUCCAAGCG
rnacentral:rRNA from 1 species